AAAGUGGUGUGUUAGGAAAUAAACUAAAGUAAGGGUUCAUGUCACAAGGUACCAUGGUGAUCUCAGGUCAAAAGAUCACAUGUAUCACCCCUAUUGAAGAACCAUCGUUGACAUGCUGUAAAGCUCCAUCAGAUAUUUUUUCUGCAAGUCAGAUCAGUGAAUUCAUUCUCUAAUAAGUAUUUACAUCUUUGUAUUAGUGUCACCACAUAAGUGAUUGUG
rnacentral:lncRNA from 1 species